rnacentral:misc_RNA from 1 species
UGUUCAAGCUCGCUGGAGAUUUGGUAAGCUCAUAAUCUUAUUACAUCAACACAUAACAACUUAAAUGUUUCAUCCUGUUUAGUGUAUCUUAAUCCCAUUAAGAUUCAUUAAAUUCUAACAGAAUCGAGUGUCGGUGGUCUCUGCAUAAUUUGGUCUUUGUAAAAUUUCUGUUUGUUUUGGACAGCAGACUACUACUACUACUCGGCACUUGCAUGAGGUUUAUGUGGGGUCCAUUAGAAACACACCAAUCACGGGUUGGUCGUCACUUUUGCCCUGACUCCCUUGGCCCCCUUAAUGGCAAAAUAGGAAAUUUGUAAAUCACACCACCAACUAUAGCAACUCCUAUGAGUAUGUUAACGUGAUUAGUUGGGAGGAAUUAUGGUUCCUAAUCCUAAAUUCUAUCGCUUGAUUACUUUUACCUACCAA